rnacentral:rRNA from 1 species
UGGCUCAGAACGAACGCUGGCGGCAGGCUUAACACAUGCAAGUCGAACGCAUCGCAAGAUGAGUGGCAGACGGGUGAGUAACGCGUGGGAACAUACCCUUUUCUACGGAAUAGCUCUGGGAAACUGGAAUUAAUACCGUAUACGCCCUACGGGGGAAAGAUUUAUCGGGGAAGGAUUGGCCCGCGUUGGAUUAGCUAGUUGGUGGGGUAAAGGCCUACCAAGGCGACGAUCCAUAGCUGGUCUGAGAGGAUGAUCAGCCACAUUGGGACUGAGACACGGCCCAAACUCCUACGGGAGGCAGCAGUGGGGAAUAUUGGACAAUGGGCGCAAGCCUGAUCCAGCCAUGCCGCGUGAGUGAUGAAGGCCUUAGGGUUGUAAAGCUCUUUCACCGAUGAAGAUAAUGACGGUAGUCGGAGAAGAAGCCCCGGCUAACUUCGUGCCAGCAGCCGCGGUAAUACGAAGGGGGCUAGCGUUGUUCGGAAUUACUGGGCGUAAAGCGCACGUAGGCGGAUAUUUAAGUCAGGGGUGAAAUCCCAGAGCUCAACUCUGGAACUGCCUUUGAUACUGGGUAUCUUGAGUAUGGAAGAGGUAAGUGGAAUUGCGAGUGUAGAGGUGAAAUUCGUAGAUAUUCGCAGGAACACCAGUGGCGAAGGCGGCUUACUGGUCC